rnacentral:lncRNA from 1 species
UAAAUUUUUAGCUACAGGAUUGCCCAAAAAUCAUUGCCUAGCCUUAUUGGAUGCUCGGCGUGGUCUUCUCGUGUGUCUGGAGAUGAUAAGUGAGCGACGAAGGGUUCUGGUGUCGAAUUUGACACUUCUGGGAACCGGGAUCGGAAAGAUUUUCUGACGAUAAUUGUUUUGACAUGAGAUCUUAUGUUCGCUGCUGGGAUGCCCAAAUUAGUGUGUUUCCGGUUAGUGGGUGACUCGUGGCAUGAGUCGGUGUGUUUCGGGACACUUCGUGGGUCCCAGCAGUGUCCCGGUCUGAUUUUCGGGACUUUCAGCAAAUUACGAUGAUCGGUUUUUGGAUAACCAAUUCUUUGGUAAAUUGUGGGGAUUGUGAGUAUUGUGUUUUGAGCUAGUAGGUUGGACUCUAACCCUGUGGAUCCUUCGUAGGUCCGGUUGACAACUUUGUGCAUCUUAGGGACUGACGCGAUAGAGAUUCAGGUGAGUACUUCUAUUUGAUGUCGGUCUAGUGGUGCAUGCUCGGUGAUUUUUCCUCCACCUUCUCCUUCUAUAUUUCUUACAUUACUUAUGAUUGUUGAGCCUGACACCAUACAACCCUAUUGCAUAUUGCUCUACUUAGUUUUAUAUUCAUUUAUCAUGAUCUAGAAGUAGAGCGGUUGUUUACUAUAGCCGUGGAUCAUGAUAUCUGUUGUGACCUAGUAGGUCGAUUCUGUGACUCUCGUUAUUUGAUGACCUAUCCAGUCGGUAUACCCUGAGGGGUUUGAUUCUUGACUAUUUGCCAACGGCUAUUGAUCAUAUUUGUAUCGAUCGCCAUUACUCGUAUGCAUUUCACGUACACCAAUGGUUUGGCCAUCGCAAUGGUAUUCUUUUCCGAAAAAGUGGUCGAAUUUUCGACUCGUGAGCCCAGGAGCUUAUGCUAGGGUUAAAUGCUAUUUAGAGCGGCGUGGCAGUUACCUAAGGUCUUUAGACUGACACAGUGGAUCUGAAUUGGAUACUAUGGGAUUAUUAUCCGAUUGAUGCAUUUCACUUACAGUAGCGGUAGUUGUACAUAUAUCUUACUUCAUCUUUUACUUUGCUACUGUAUUAUCUUUUAUAUCUAUAUUUUUGGUGAUCAAUGAGUACACUCGCCCUUGCCGGCUUGUGGUACUCAUUGGAAGACCCUUGUUGGUUUUUCACCCUCCCUAAUUUUAGGUGAUCUUGGAUGUACGAAUCGGGGCGAGGUGUGAGGCGCGUACCUAAUGAGAGAGAUUUCCCGGCCUGGUGGCAUAUUGGUUCUAGACUUACCUUUUUCAGUUGAUGAAUACUUAGGCUAUUUGUGGUUCAGUUUAGCUUUGCUUGGAUAUGUUUUAACAUUAUGGACUUGCGAAAAUGGUUUUCUACUCCUCGUGGCAGCUUGUUUUCAAAAAAAAAUAAAAGGUUCCUAUGUGGGAAAUAAUUUUUAAAAGGUUUUCGGCUUUUCGUGAUUUUAGUAUUUCAAAAUGAGCUUCUGAGUGGAAAACACUUUCAACUGGUAGAUGUGGAAUCUUGUGAAUAUUUUUAUGUACCAUUGUGAAUGUAAUUUGUGAAUAAAUGUAGUUGUAACUUGUACUAUGUGCAAUGCCAUGCAAAUAUAGAGGAGACUCUGUCCAUGUGGACAGAAUAUUCUCUGUAUUUGUAGUAGGUCUGUCAUCCCUUGGGACAAGGUUUCAAAAAAAAAAAAGGCCAUUUUCUGUUGAUCAAUUGGCCUUCUUUUCAAAUAGCUUUAUAAAAAGGACCCCGGGGUGUGACAUUAAGCCCGACCCGAAUCCAAAAUUAUAUUUUUAAUACCCAAAGCUCGGCCCAAACAGGGCCCAUCGAGCUUGGUCUUGUUUAGGCCCGGGCCUAGUUCCACCCCUAGCUAUACCUGAUUUACUUAUUUCUACCCUUAUUUAUCUUUUCUGCCUAUCGGUGUGUACAGCCUGCUUUUGUCUGCUUGCGGCACCCACUCGGAGAGGGAGACUUGUUUACAUGUUCUCACCCCUACUAUUUUUCAGGUAGCUUGGGCGGUGAGGGUUGGGACUCUAGGUUAUGGGAACUCUAGGAUCUAUUUAGAUACUAUCAAACACCUAGAGUAGGGUGAAUAGGUGUCUAGGCCAGAACACAAAUCUCAAUGCGAUAAAAAUAAAUGUGAAAAAUAAUAAAAACACACCGAGAUUUAUGUGGAAAAACUCCAACUUGGAGAAAAACCUUCAGGACCAACACGUGAAAAAAUAAUUCACUAAGAGUAAAAGAUUACAAGGUGAUUACCGACCCCACAGAGUUGACCUCUUUUUUAUCUCCUACAGAUCUCGCGCAUACCGCUGGGUUGUCCACUCCCCACGUCCGAAUCCACAGACGCCACCGGAAUCCUCGAGCACUUAUGAUUUGAAUCCACGAAUCAUCUUAAUUAUGCCAAAUCCACAACGUCACUCACAAAGAGAAAAUGAACGUUUCUAUGGUGAUCCAUUGCUUAGAGUAUCGUUAAAGAAUUAGAGAAAAGAUCUGUAAGCAAAUCAUAGAUCAAUUCGACAUAUGCAUAUUGAAUUUCAAUAACUUGAAAUAACCUAAAGAGGCUUUUUGGUGGAGAAAGGUUAAGAACGAAAAAUCUAGCCUCUAGGGUUGCUCUCUCAUGAAUUCUUAGUGCUUCUAUAUCAUAGAGAACCCUAACAUUGUAUUUAUAGAUUUUAGAAUUAAUUAGAGUCGGAUUAGAGUCAUAUUAGGAAACCUGCACAUUGAGUACUGGUACUCGGAUGUGGGUAUCGGUAUGCCAUGACGCAAUAGGAAUUUCCUAAUGCUAGGUACUGGUACUCGACCAAUGCCGUACUGGUACCACACAACUUAGUACCGGUACUCAAACCUGGUACCGGUAUGCAAUUUAAUUUGCAUAAUUGCUGCUCUCGGGUUCCGAGGAACUCACUAUUGGGUUCCGGUACUCAAUAUAAAAAAUCAGGUUUUUCAAUUCAAUUUUGAGGAACCAAAAACUAGUACCAAAACACAAUAUAAAAUAUUGUUGUAUAUGAUGUCAUGCCCUGGGGUUCUUUCGGAAAGUCCUCUUUAGAAAAACUAGUGGAAAACGUGUAGAUUUUUUUUUAAAACACCUUUGAGAAUAUCCCGCAGACGUAUACAAAUUCGCCACAUGGAUAAAGGAUUUUCUGUACAAACGGACAGAGUCCCUUUUGGACAUGCACUGCGUAGCACCAUAGUACAAGAUCAAGCACACAUGGAACCACACAACACAACAUCUAAUGCACAUUAAACAAUAAUAAUCACAGAACACUAAUUAUCCACAUCUAUCCUUUGAUAUAAGUACAUUAACAGGUAAAGAACUAAACUAAUCCAACAGACAUGAAAAGCUAAACCAAAUACUAGAUAUAAGGAUUGAUGAGGACCAAACAAGAACUCGGCUAUCUAAUAUCGUCCUCACGCACCAUCGUAACCCUUACUGUCCACAUGUCACGCCCUGCACCCCACCUAUUUGGUCAGGUUCAGGCACGCUAACAGACCGCCGAACGGACAGGGUUUCCCUGUGCCGCGGACAGAGUCUCUCCUGUACGUCCAAGGCGUCGCAAUCAAUACAAUACAAGAGGUUACAAACAGGAACAGUAUUCAUUCAUAGAUUGCAUAAGGAAGUAUCAAAAACAUAAAACUACUAAGCUAUUACAACAUUCCACUUAGAUACAUUUUUACAACAUAAUUUUCUUUUACAUUAAACUUCCGAAUACAAUCCCAAAUCUUACAACUUGAUAAAAGUUUGUUCUUGUCUUCAAACCUCCCAAGCUAGACCACCAACUCGGGUACCGCUACCUCGGUCUCUGGGGUAGGGCGCUAUCUACGGAGCCACGCCCUUGCCUCGCGCCGCCGCGCUGCUCACGUGAGUACCUGUAAAUACCCCAAAACAACGUGGGGUGAGAACCAACUCCAUGGUUCCCAGUGGGUACGGCCACCCAAGGGAAAAGCUCGGUCGAUAUGUCUAAUGAGGCCCUGUAACAAGUUAGUCCAAUAACAUAUAACAGAUAUAUAGCAGAUAUUGAACUAAGUGUCCUGCCUCCCAAAAUGCAAUAUGCAAAUCCCGUACUUAUGCAAGUAGAUUACUUUGUCCUACUUUAUAUUCUCGGCCAUUCUUUACUUGUAACAUUUCUUUACUUUAUUAGCUAUUCUUUUACAUUAGCCGUUCUUUAUUCUUUUCUUUUGUUAUUCUCAUUCUUUAGCCAUUCUUUAUUCUUAGCUAGCUUUGCUCUUUACUUGCCAUUCUUUCCUAAGGUUACAUAUACCUCGGUCACACUAUGCCACCCGACUCGAUCUUGAGUGAAUCAACAGCGGAUAAGCCGCGCUCUGUCCGGCUCGAGGUGAAGGAACUCUCGCAUGCACCUCAGCCUACAGACCAAGAACCACAUCGCCUAACGGGUCGCCCAGCGUACCCCGUGGUCAGGGAUCCCCCGAUGGGAGAGGAACAUGCCACAUACACCCGCAGCCGAGAUCCCCGAUAGGGAGAGGAACAUGCCACAUACACCCUAGCGCUCACUGUUCUUGCUCGAUCACAAACCUCGAAGUUCUUCCGGUGGGAGAGGAACCUUGCCACAUACACCCGCGGCCAAGAACUUCCGAGCUCAUAUGCUGCACUAGCAGCCGCUGCACUCGCAGCCAGGAUUCCGGAAUCCACUUUACAUAACUCAAGGGUUGGUCUUGUAACCCUAUAGUUUCGACCUACUUAGGUCCAUUGUCCUUUCCAACCUAGGUUUACUUGACUCUAGGUUUAACACUUUUAUCACAUAUCCUAGGUUUAAUUUAACGCUAGGUUCAUUAACUUGAACUCUCAACCUAUGUUCUCUAACAUGAGGUUCAAUGUCUUUCUCAUUAACCUAUGUUCAAUGAUACUAGGUUUCAUUGCCACUCAUCAUCCUAGUUAUUUAUACUUAGGAUUCUCAAUUGACAUGCCACUCGAUAUUCUUUCUUUACAAUGUCAAAUUCUUUACUCAGAGUUCAUUAAUCUUAUUUCACAUUCAUAUCUAGGCAUAUGUCUUAUGCAUUUAUCAUUAGCAUCUCAAUCAUGCACUUAUAUAUCAUCUAGUUCAUGCACAUAGUUCAUGUGUUUACUUAAUAUACAUCUUAUAUUCGUAUGCACUUUAUCUAACAUUCAUUUCUACAUGAAUAUGUCAUCAUCAUGCAAUUCAUUCUAUGCAUUGUGCUUACCUGCAUUCUUCUAGUUUACAUGCAUAUUUAUAGUCUCACAAUGCUCGUCAUGCAUUUACAUAGCAUUUUACACAUACUACCAACAUGCUUUAAUUAGCAUUAGCUAUAUGCAUCCUAUACAUGUCCCAUUUACAUUUAUAUGCAUCAACAUAGAUUUUUAAAAUUUCUUGCACAAGGAGAAGAGGAUAAAGAGGACUCUCCUCCUCAAUAACUUCUUCUCCUUUCUUUCCUCCUCUUUUCUUGUUCUUCCUCUCAUUCCUUUCUUCUUCUUCUUCUUUCUUUCUCUUUUCGGUUUAGAGAGAGAGAGAGCAAGAGAGGUGUGAGAGAGAGAGAGAAAUGAGAGGGAAAUGAGAGGGGAGUGGACCCUCAGCCCUCAUAUAGGCAUAUUUGCAAAUAAACCCCUCUAUUUUUCCUAUAUCUGAAACAUCUCCCGCUGUUCGUGCUCCUUGUACCGGUACACGGGGUCUUGUACCGGUACAAGGCCUGGCAGACAGCCCAACCCGAGAGCUGGUUCUCUCGGUUACGCAGGGUACAAGGCCCCUUGUACCGGUACAAGGCCCCUUGUACCGGGCAGCUCCAACCCGAGAGCUUCACUGGUUGUACCGGUACAACCAUUGGGCUUGUACCGGUACAAGACAUCCAGAAUGUCAUUUUUGACUUCGAUUCCGCUCUACUUCGCGCUGUUCGAUGCCAAAACCCUUCCAACUCUUUUAGAGCUUACUUUUAGCCUUCCAAUAGUGAUGGAAUAUUAAUUGGGACUUGUCCAUCCAUCUUCUUCGCAUACUUUAGUCGAUUUGGCUAAAGUUCGCUAAUUCCUUCUGGGUUCCAAUAUGUUACAUUCUCCAAACAUAUUUUCGAACAUGUCUCCAUCAUCUUUUCAUCCACGCUAAUGCCGAACUUAGCUCACGGCCCAACAUAGUCUUUCGGGUUCCGUUUUCGCGCCUACGCGCACCGAAACGCUCGAAAGCUUCCGAACUUCACCGAACCUCACCGGAACCAUUCAAAUAGUUUUCCAACCCAACAUACACCGUGACUUCAUAUCUUUAGAAGUCCGGUAUGUUACACCACAUCACUUGAAAAAUGGUGGAGGGUGAGAACAUGUAAACAUGUCUCCCCUCCCAGUAGGUAUUGCAAGCCGAUGAAGGCGAGUUGUACUCACUGGCAAAGGAAGGGAUAACCAAAGCAAUGAAUAGAUAUUGUAAGAUCAGUAGCAAUGAGAUAACAACAGACAAUAAAUACGAAAAUACCACUACUGAGUAGAAAACAACAACUAGGCAUAAUCAAUAGAUAUAUUGGCAAAUAAUGCAAUAUACUAAAUGGCCCAUAAUGGCAACUAGCCGAAAGAGUAAUCCACAAAUGUCUGCCCGAAUUAGGUCCACUGUUUCCAAAGGAGAAGUCACUAUGUUACUGACCUAUCAGGUCUAUAAUGUCCAAAACGUACAAUAUACUACUAAGAGGUCACCAACCACAAAGUCAACCGUAUUAAACCAUGCAACAUACAAGUAAAAGUGCCACCGACAUCAAGUCAACUAAUGUCGCAAUACGCAACAUACACCUAGGAAUGUCACUGACCAUAUGGUCAACUAAAGUCAAAACACAAAGUAGAUGGCUACGAGUGUCACCGACUAUAAAGUCAAAUGAUAUCAAAACUACUACGAGUGCCACCGAUUAUAAAGUCAACUAAUGUCAAGGUCAUCUACUAUGAACAUACCAUAGGUGACUCAUGCAUCGAAACACCGCUCCACUAUUAGAUCAUGACUAUAUGAAAUAGGAGUAAGUGUAGAGCGACUAACUAUGAAGUCAAGUGAUGUACGAAAGCUCAACCAACAUCAAGUAAUAGGAAGGAGAUAACAAGGAUAGAAAUCACCGAGCAGGCACCACUUUACUGACUUCGGAUCGAAGUACCUACCUCUACCGAAGGAUAAAACUAGGUCGUCAACACCCAUCGAUAUCUCCCGCCACAGUCCGGACCUAUGUAAAGUCCUACCGAAAACGUAAUUAGCUUAAAACUGCUAAUACAAAAGCUAUGGUUUCAAGUGAAACCAACAUGCGAGCAAUCGGGUUUUCGGAUCCCGUUCCAUGAUUACCGAAAGAUCGCCCAAUCGUCGCACCGACUCGUUGGAAUGUCACCCCAACCCACGGGGCAUUCUAGAACAAGUCCCACACAAAGCCUAUCUCAUUCGCUAUCCCAAUACAUCAAUUUAAUGCCAUUGGGGCGGCCACACAAAUAGUGCGUCAAAACGGAAAGCCGAAAUCGUGGAAAUCAUCGGUUUGGCUCCCGAGAUGCCCAUUUCUGCACCAGAACCACCCGCAGCUCUCAUGCUGCGACCAGAGGUGUCAAACCUCACACUAAAACCAGCCAGUAAGGCUCCUACCCUGCUGCAAACAGUAGCAACUCGCGCGACACGAAAUCGAGCCCCAAACUACUUGAUUUCAACAUUUUGGGGUCCGGAUUAUCCCCGAAGCAUUCCGAAACACUCCAAAAUUAAUUUGACCUUCCUCGUGAUACCAAAACACUCACUUUUGAGUGUUGAGAUAGCCGCACACUAAGUGGUGCGAUCCGGAUGAAAAACUCCAAAAUGCACCGUACCGGGUUCCCAGAAAUCAUCAAUUUUGACUUCGGAACCCACCUAGGAUCCAUCGCUGGUCCGUUCUUCACACCAGCGAGGUUCCAACCAGUCAACAAGGUUACCCUUCUGCUACAACCAGCCGCUGAACCGGUUCCGUGAAAACGGAGUCGAAAACACACCCAAAAUGCACUAAAAUCAUCGUUUCGUGUGCCGAUUGCCACGUAAUCCACCUUAGGGAUUUCCUAAGCCUCGAACAACAAGUUCGAACAUCCUAAACCUAAAACAUGUCGUUCGGAAUAGUCCCGAUGCAAAAAGCAUCAGCGGCAUUACGCCGAACACCCGGUGCGUGAUAAAAUCAUACAGUAAUACAUCAAUUAGAAAGUUACUGCUGAUUCCAUGACUUUGGAAUCCGAACGAGGGUAAGGUCCAAAAGGUCUCGACACCUUGAACGUCGUGCUCGCUAUCUGGAGCACAACGAACUACUGUGGAAGAAAUUGGAGCAACAUGAACCGUAGCUUUCGUGGUCUCUAGGAGCGGCAAUGUGAGAACAGCCAUUGGGGACAAAUCUAGUUGUAAUUGAGGAGAGCACCACACUAUAGUAGUGCUCCGUAAAGCCGUGCUCUGCUAUCGAAAGAUCGCUGGCAGCCAGAUGUGUCGAAAAAGAGAGAUCAACCCGAGCCAGUACUAGCCGCGGCGUAACCAAAGUAACAGUAGGCAGCAAGGAAUCCCCCAGCCUUCCGUACAGCCUAGGGCUGGCCGACGCCGACCACAAUGUGUAGGCCCCGACUAGAGGAGGCCCUCAGGUGCAGUGGCUGGUGACAAAGACCCUCGGCAGCGCCGAAUCCGGAGACUCGACGUACUCUUCCCUAAGCUCAGGCUCGGGCUCAAUCUCGAGCUCGUGCUCGGGUUAGGGAAACUCGAGGGUAGUAGCCGAGCCAAGGAGAGGUUGCUAGACUGCUUCCCCGAGGGCGGCGGCGACCAAAACCAAGUGAAAGGGAGAGAGAGGAAACCCGAGGAAAGAGAGAGAGAGAGAGAUAAAGAGAGGAAGGAAAGCUUGGCCUUACCACCAAACCGAGGGUUGCUGGCGGCAGGCGGCGGGGGUGGCGCGCCGGUGGAGGCCCAAAGAGGUGGCGGCUCGGGAUAAAGGGGACCGGCAACCCUAGCCAUCUAUAUAAUAUACAUGUAUACAUACAUAAAAAUAUGCAUAUACAUUAGAAAAAUGCAUUAUAGUCCCCUGAGUUAUAGUAUUUUAUCUUCAGUCCCUUACCAGCCCACAAAAAUGCAUCAAGCACCAUCCUUCCCAAAUUUCACGCGAUAAAACACCUAGAGUUUUGUGAAAUUUUGAAAAGGUCUCUAUCCAUAAAAUUUUCUCUUGACAUCAACUAGGUGCCAUUUUCCGCAGGUAAACCCGAAUUCCGUGAAAUUCGUGAUAUAAACUCCUCUCUGGGUCUACUUUCAUGUAGAACCUUCCACUCACCAAAACUAUAAAAUUUAUGACAUAAAAUGAUAACCUCUUCACAAAGUGCUCAAUUUUGACACGUUGCAAAAAUAGCAAUUUAGCACUCUAAUCAUUGAAUUUUGUUCUAAAAACUCACCAAUGCAUGUAAUAUGCCCAGUGGCACCUACUUAUGAACUUUCACACAAAAUAGAUCAUCGAACACUUCUAAAAGGCAAGAACAUCUAAUAAUCAGAGGCCAAUAUGCGCUAAACUCUAAUUUCCUCAAAAAUCGUGCAUCGAACAUGAAAUCGGGUAGUACCAUCACCUCUGGUAUAGCUGGACCAUCGAAAAUGACCUAUUGGAUCAUUCGAAACGGAGUCCAAAUCAUGUCUGAAGCCAUCCUCAACGCGAUGCUUUAAAAUAAAACGUAAGUUAUUUUUCACUUAAGUGAAUAGUACUCAACACCUUAUGCCUCAAAUAAAAACUCAUUUAUGCCAAGAAUUAAACUAGAAAUUCCAAAAAUAAGAGUAUCUAUAAUAAUCCACUAAAAAACACCAAUUUACACCAUAAAAAAAAUCUCAACCCUCACAAUUUGAUUACCCAUGAGAUUUUGAAUACUUUUAGAUCUUGGAAACUUGAGGUUUCGGUUACUUGUGGUUUGAAGUUGGAUUUCGAAUGAGGGAUUUCUAUUAUGCAUGUACUCGGAGUUGUUCUGGAUUUCACUAUAUUGGUUUAUGAAAUCUUGUUAUCUGGUUUUCUACCCAUCGUGGUAGUCGAUUUUUAAAAGAUUGAGUUUUCGUGUGGGAAACAAAUUUUAAAGAAUUUUGAAUGGUUUUGAUUGAUGAAUAUUUAGAGUAUAAAAACAAAACUUUCGGGGGUGAGCACUUUUAAUAUAAUGAUUGUAGUGUUGUGCAUUGCAUCAUCUAGGUCCUAAGGAGUGCUUAGAGGCAUGUAUUAUGUAACACACUGAACUUUAGCAAAUCGCAAGGAUCGAGUGUUCGAGCUGUGUUCUGAACUUUUUCAGAUUUUUUGGAGGGUCGUUGACUGUGUUCCGACCUAUGACUCGCAUCCCGAGGAGCGAGGAUGAAAACUUAGAACCAAAAUCUCCAAAUUGCAGAUUUUGGGCUGCUCUCGGGUUGAGCUCUGCAGGGCAGAGUACCGGUACUGCAUCGGCGGAGUACCGGUAAGGGACCUGGUACCAGUACUGCAUCGCGAGGGUACCGAUACGCAGUGUAUUUUCUCGCUCGACCGAGGCUCGGGUUUGGGGAGCUCGGCUGCCUGGUACCGGUACUCCAGCCCGCGUACCGGUACGCAGUGCAGGUGCAGACUGCACAUUAUUGAGGGGUUUUUUUGAGUUUGUUACAACUCUAUAUAUACCCCACGCCCCCUUUUGGGUUUCCUGAGCUUGGAACCAGAGAAGAGAAGAACCAGGUAGGGGACUUCUCCACUUCCCCUCUUUGAUUUUCUUUUCUUUUUACUUGGAUUUUGGGGGAUUAAUCAUCUCUUUUGCUCCUUUUUGGCAUGUUGGUGGUUUUCCACUAUUGGAGAAGCUUGAAGUGAGAGAUUGGAGCUUGUUUGAGGAAAGAUCUCCAACCCUAGCAUCUUCUAGCUUGGUUUGGAGCUUGGGAAAAGGUUAAUAUCCUCUCUACCACUUGUAAUUGUGGUUUUGCUUGAGUUUUGGGAAGAAAACCUAGUUAUGUGGAAUCUAGGGUUUUAUUUGGGGGUUUUUGAUUAGUAGCUUUUGGGGCUAAAUUGAUAGGUGUAGAACCUUCUUAUAGGUGGGAUUAGAAGUACUCUAGCUUCCUUUUGGAGAUUGGGAGGAUGUUUCACCAUCCAAGGUGAGUUUUGACCUUUCUUUGGGUUGGUUAAAGUUUAGCUCGUGGGGUGUUCAUUCAUUACUCCUAACCCUCUUAGAAUUUUUUUUAGGGAGCUAGGAGACUAGUGGACAUCUUCGUUCGCGCAAACGAAGGGGAUCCGAGGAGUUCUUGGUGGGUUUGACCUUACCGAAAUAGGUGAACUCCCCCUAUGUUAUAUUUCUUAUUGUAAAAUGAAAAAUUAUGCAUAUUCAUGCUAGAUAGAGCAUAUGUGAAUUUUAGAAUGUUUAAAAUUCAUAUGUUAUGUAUCAUAAAAUUUUACCUCUAUGUAGUAGAGAGAUAAGUACAUAGUAAUCAUGCAAGUUAAUGGCAUUCUUUUAUUUGGCUUGGAAUCAUGUUUUAUAUAGUGAAAAUGACAAGAAUAAUAUGCUCUUGGACAUAGAACACAUGCUUGACAUAGUGAAUAUUAGUGUCAUAAAGUGGCACUCAACUUAGUAAAUUGUUAAACACUUACUUGUUGACAUAGUGAUAGGCCAUUGGGACAUUAGCCUUUAUAUCAUGUUUUAGACAUUAUGACAUUGGACUUGAGAUGGAUGACUACGCUUGCUUGUCAUUGUGCUCAUUCGCACAUGCUUGUGAGGGUCGCUCCCCACAAGCCGGCACUCCGGAGAUAGCCAACGUGACAUAAGCUCGCCAGUGCGGGAUUGGGCGCCGAAAUGGGAUGCCGUGGGGGAGGUUCAUUCCUAGAGUGGGAAUGUUGACUACCACGGGGCCAUUAGGCACGGCGCAAGCAGGACUACCAUGUGUAGGUCCUUAUGAUUGGAAAAAUCUUGAACUAAAAUGUAAUGUAGACAUUAUACUAAAUGUGAAUGUAGACAUCCUAAUAGUUGUACUUGUGGACAUCAUAUUAUUUAUAUACAUGUUCAUUCUUGUUAGAAUAACUCUUGUACAUGUGAAAUUCAUGCUAAGUAGAGGUAUAGUAGUUUAGUAAAAUUUAUUACAUGCUCAUUAUACAUGUUGUUUAUUUUCGCUAAAAGUUAAAUUUUGCUACUUUUACCUGCAUAACCUAGUGGUGUAUUUCACUGAUGUCGGCGGCUUACCCACUGGGAACUAUUGAUUAAUAGUUCUCACGCCCCCUGUUUUGUUGUUUUUGUUACAGAGCCUUCCACUCCAGAAGAAGCUAGGGACCGCGGCAAGGGUGUCCCCUCUAGCUAGUUAGCGAGGAGCUUGCUUUUAGGUGGUUCAUCUCUCCUUUUGUUUUAGUUGGAAAGAGUGAGAGUUUUUGUACCCUUUGUGUAGAGACCACCAUUUUUAUAUAUUUAGUUCCUUGUAUUUGGGAUCUUGUUGUAUCUACAUUAUGGAUUAUGUUAGUUGUUUAGUUCUUUUAUUUCUACUUGUCUUUAAAAUUUAAUUGUAUUCACGCUCUGAUAUCUCUAGAUGCUUGUUACUUCUGUUUUAUUUAUCGCUUGUUGUAGGCGCCUUAUAUGUUGUAGGCAUAUGGCGGGUCUGGACAUGCACCGGGCAGGUUUUCGCUGGUUCCCAGGGCGUGACAGAUUAUAUUGAUAUCAGAGCCUAGGGUUGAGUCUUAGUGGACCUAGUAAACCUUAGGCCGGUUGGACUAUAGGAAAUAGGCUCGUGAGAGACGGGUUUAUUUGACUUGUAAGUGAAAGUAUCAUGAUUUCGUUUUAUAUUAACUCUAAAAUGUCGUAGUUUAAUCGAACUGUAUAGCUUCUAACUUCGCGGAGGGUUACGUUGGCGGCCGACAACGUAACAUCGGGAGUUAGUAGUGAAACACAUUUCAUUACUUUCGCUGUAACGUAUCGAAACCCGAAAACGAUUAUCGAACUUUGAUCAAAUUGGUUAAAGUGUUGAGAGAAAGGGGCUGGCGAGUUCCAUUUUACAUUCCAACAAGGUUGGAAGGGUGAAAAUGAGUUUAAGAAGUGUUGGAAUGGUUUUGGCAUCGAACGGCGCGAAGUAGAGUCGAAACGAUGCAAAAACAGCAUUCUGGAGCAUUGUGUACCGGUACGCCAUGAUGGCUGUACCGGUACAGCAAGUGACCCGAGCACUGGUUGCUCUCGGGUUUGAGGCUGUGCGAAGGUGUACCGGUACGGGACCCGUGUACCGGUACACAAGCUGCGCAACCGAGAGAGCUUGCUCUCGGGUUUGGGCCUCUGCGCAGGUCCGUACCGGUACACAAACCCGUGUACCGGUACACGGUGGGUCUGACAGCCCAGUGAAGUCUGCUACAGAGAUAAAGCUGAGGGGCCUAUCAGCAAUUGUUACAACAUGUAAUAGAGGUAUUCCCUCCUCUCUUCACAGCACACACACCUCUCCACUCUCUUUUACAUUUCCUCUCUUUCUCUCUCUUAAACCCUAGCUCCAAGACUUGGAGAAGAAGGAGAAGAAGGUGGAGAAGGAUUGGAGGAGUGAGUUUAGAAGGCUUUGGUGGUUCUAGGGGCUCNGAGAAGAAGGAGAAGAAGGUGGAGAAGGAUUGGAGGAGUGAGUUUAGAAGGCUUUGGUGGUUCUAGGGGCUCACCUACAAGGAGGAUCUUGUUGGAGCUUGGGCUAAGGUGAGGUUUUACACAAGUUGAGCCUAGGGUUUGGGUUUAGACCUUAGAUUUUUGGGUUUUGAUCUCUCUACAAGUGAGGAAACCCUCUAAAGACCUUGAAACCAUGAAAUCCAUGGUUAUCUUGGACCCCUCUCAUGGUGGAUCACUAGGGCUCAAAAUAGAUGCCAUAGGGAUGGUUCUAAAAGCUUAGAAACCUUAUUAGAGAGCUUCCCAUGUGAUUCUAAGCUUUCUUUUGCUUAGCAAUGAGAUCAAUCUAGGAAAAAUACAAAAAUGACAUGUUAGGGUAUCCCAAAGAGGGGUUUUGCCCAAGUUGGGUUUUGAUCUAUUUUGAUCAUGUAGAAACCUAAUUGAUGGUAUUUUAAACGCGUUGGAACGCUCGGUUCGACAAUCCGACGAGUGUAUGCAAAGUUAUUAACAAAAACGUCAUUUUCCGUACAGAUAGCCGCAGCACGCGGACUAGGGCUUCAAAAAUUUCAAGAAAUUCACCAUAGCAUCCUUGUAACCAUCUACGGUGGGUGGUGCAUUCCAAGGACAUCGAAAAUUUCUUUAUGUCUAAAGUGUCAUAUUUGAGCAUAUAUAUUUAUAUUGAGCAAGUUGCAUAGUAGGGUUAAUUGUAAAUUUCCACUGCAUGAUAUGAGUUCUAAUGCUUGAGAAAUAGUAGUAAAUGAAUGAGAAUUGGUAACCCUAUAUAUGCAUGACAUGGGACAAGAACCUAGAAGGGUUAGUAAACAAAUGUGACAUGUUAACAUAGACAUAGAGUAUGGCAUGAGUACCAGAACAUAGCACUUAGAAAACAAGUGUGGCAUCAAUGACAAAGAACAAGAACAAGUAGUGUACAUGACACUAGAAGAGGUUAGAGAAUGCAAGUAAAUUGGGUUUGUGACAUUAUGACAUAUACACCUUAGAGUUAAGGGUCAUAUGAACAUGGUUCUCCUUGGAGUCAAGGAAUGGAUUGAACUUGGAAUCCUUAAAGUUAAGGAUUGAUCGUACUCACCUAAUAGUCCUUGCUCGAGGGCGGUAGCUCCCCCUCGGGCGAUGUGCUCCGGAGUUGUCAUCACUGGGUCGUAGCGAUUAUCUCCCCAGAGGGCGGUCCCGUCGGGUCGUAGCGGUUAUCUCCCCGACAAUAGGGAUUUGGGUUGGUGAGUUUGUAAGGGCGAAACCUACGGGCUAGUCAUGAGAUUGGGUAAUGAAAAGUUAAUCUUGCAUUCAUCAUGAGCAUACUAUUGAGCAUAGUUUUACUUAUCGUUCAGGCAUAUUAGCUGCAUUUGUUAGUUGGUUAUUAUCUAUUCUUUCUUCUAUUAUGUCUGAUUAGACCUAGUGGGAUAGUCGGCGUGGUUGGUUGCCGAACCCACUGGGAACUUUGUUGUAGUUCUCACCCCACUAUUUCCACAGAGCCAGGACCGAGUGAGCCGGCAGAUGAUCGCGGUAAGGGCAUCGCGCCCUAGGUAGUGACCGCCCGAGAUGGUUAUCAUUUUGUAGUCGCAUACCCUUUACUAUCAUCUUUUGUAUUUGAUGAUUUUAGUAUCAUGAACUUGCUUUAAUGAAUGAUGUAAAGGAUAUUUAUUUUAAAUGUCAAAACUUAUAUUUUGGGAGAAAUGAGAUGUGAAAAGAAAUGAUGCAAGAAUGUAAAAGAACUUGAUUAUAAUUGGAUGCAUGUAUGUGAUUUAAAUUUAGUCAUAUCACUUGUAUAUUGAUUGGUUAAUUCUUUCACCUUGGCUAUUGCUUACCCUCGUGCAAGCCAUUGUGUAUGCUUCCGCUUAUGCAAAUUUUACUCUAUUGAUACUUGUUAUUGAGCCUUGGGCGGACAGGGAAGCUCUGUCCAUUCAGCGUCUGUUUGACGCUCUCGAACCGGCCAAAAGGGAUUGGGCUAGGGGCGUGACAUUCGCAUGAUUUGAAUAUUAUUCUCUUUGAGUGGGGUUGCGAUAGCGUGGGUUUUACUAAUUUGCGCUUUUAUGUUGUUGUAGUGAUUAUGCCGACUAUUCGCUCUAAAUCUAUUGGAGCGGACAAUGCGGCAAAUUUCGAGAAGGUGGAGACCUUCGCUACCUCCGAAUCUAGUGAGGUCCGCGAGUUAAGGACCCAACUUACGGUCCUUACUGAUUUGGUAACUCAGCAGGCGGUGGCGGCUCAGCAGUAGGCCGAAGCGGCGCGUCGACAGGAGGCGCGGAUGAAGCGAUUGGAGGAUCUUCUACUUUAGCAGUCAGCUGCUAGGGAGGCACGGGAUCCCUCACCACCCGCGCCAGAUGAGGAUGUUGCACCGAGGGCGGCGUCUUCCGCGCCCGGCACUUCGUGGCGGCACCCGUUGUGGCGCCCCAGGAGGAGGUUGUUGCGGCACCACCAGUUCAGGUGCCUCCGGCGGGAGUAGUUUUCUCCAUGAUGGUUGCUGGGGAGGAGCGGGACCGGCUCAUGGAUCGCCUCAAUGAGUUCAGGAGGUGCAAUUCCCGGAUCUUUGAUGGAGAGAAGGCCGACCACUGAAUUGUGGAAAAGUGGUUGAUGCAUAUGGAAAAGCUUUUCUAUGAUACCUUCGUGGAGGAGAGGGACAGAGUUUGGCUUGCCACUCAUCACCUAGAUGGCGAGGCCUAUCGUUAGUGGUUGGACAUCCAGGACAACCUCAACAUGGAUUUGUCGGCUAUUUCUUGGAAGCGGUUCAAGGAGCUUCUGUUGGCACACUACUUCCCCGACAGUGUCAAGAGGCAAAUGGCAAAGGACUUGCGCAGCUUGUGCCAGGGGGAGCGGACUGUGGCCGAGUAUUAGCGGGAGUUCUCCCGGCUCCACCAUUGGAUGCCUUUCGUCGUGCGGGACGACAGAAUAAGGCCCGCAUUUUUCAGAGUAGACUUCGGCCGUCGAUCUUCCGCUUCGUGCAAUCAUCGAAUCUGCAGACCUAUCGGGAGGUGGUGAUGAACCGUGCUCUCAUUGUGGAGAGGGGCGCGGCAGAUGUGCAGGAACGAAGAGAAGGCAUGGACAAGGGUAAAGGUAAGAGACCCGCGGCUGAGGGUGCGAGUCAGGCGCACUCUAGGUGGCCGUCGAGACACCCGAGGAGCCAGUUGAGAGGGCGUAGCUCAUUUGCGCAGCGAGGAGGUUCUGAUCGUCGCCGACCUCCCCAGUGUGUGAUAUGCGGUUGUCCCCACAUUCCAUCGUAGUGUCCGCAGCGAGGAGGCAGGUGCUUGUAAGGAAAUGUGCGCAUCUGUAUGUGCAUUUAAUGCAGCGGAAAUAAAUUUUAUUUAUAAAAUAUGAUCCAAUCAUGUAUACUUUAAUAUCAUAACAUUUAUGAUAUUAGUAUAUAUAUGUAUCAAGAUCAUCUCGUGUGACACACAAAAUUAUUAUUCUAAUCUAAUUAGAAGAAAGGUUCGAAUUUCAACCUGUGCAAUGUACCGAAUUAUUUCACGGUUGACGUGGAUCUAAACUUCUGGUCCUUUGAGCCGCACAAGUGUUCGGCCUCUACGUGUAUCCACACAAGGCUGAUCCGAGAUCUGUGCUUCACACAAUCACAGUGUAAUCUCGAAACUCCUUUCGUGAUAUCUUGUGUCAAUGUGGAGAAAAAUUAAUCCUCAAAAUUGUGCUAGCAAUUUGAAGAGGAUUAACUAUAGAGACUAAUUAAUAUUGGAGGACCACUCUCUUAUGAUUAAAAGAGAGCUCUAUACAAUUAAAAAACUUUCUCUCUUUGUUUUGUAAUCUACUUCAAAACACCUAUAUUGUAAUAAUCCUCAUCAUCAAGAUAUGCCAUUAUUUAUAGGUGAGGCAGCAUACGAGUAGAGAGAAGCGAAAGAGGCGGGGAGACGUUCUCUGCACAAUUAAUAAUGUGUUUCUCCCUCUAUAAAAGAAAAGAUUGUGGAGAGGAGUCCCAUAAAUGAGAGGAGUUAACUCCUCUCAUUUAGUGCAUGGAGAUGCGAAGAGAAUGAAGAGAAAAAGAAGUUUUCUCUUCUACAUCAUAAAUGCUAGAGUUUCUCCUUUUAUCUUUUCUUCCACUUUCACUUCGUAACUCCUCAAAUUAAUCUUUAUUAAUUGAGGAGUUGAUGAGAGAAUAAUUUAAGUGCAAGUGCACCAUAUGCAACAAUUGCGUUUAACUCUACAACUUUUAAUUUUACAAAUUGGUCCUUCUUGCUAAUCAAUUUAGCAAGUAAAUUCAGGCUUUGCUACUUUAGCAAAAUAGUCUCUAUUAAUUCUCCAAGUACUAGAUCACACGCAGCCUUUAUUGUGUGUGACCACAUAGAUUCAAUUCUACCUGGUAGUGAGAUGUGAUAGUAAACUCUUUUAAUGUCACCAUCGAAACUCUUCUCGAUGGACCAAAAUAUUUUUGGCUCUCCCAAGUGAGUGUAAUUAACUAUCUUAAUUACUCUCAUAGGUCCCACAAUCCACGAGUGACACCUAGCAGUGUAUCGCGGCAAUCCAAGUAGAAUUAAUAAUAGACGGAACCUCUAGGUGUAGUUACCGUGUGAUAAAAUCCUUCUAUCACUAGUCCCGAUUUAGCCGAGGUUAUGGAUUACUCGUCAAACCCCAUUACUCAAUCAUAUGUCUCAUCUGAUUAACAAUUAAUAUGGAAACUCUUUUCCAUAAAAUCAUACUGCCUUGGCCAAGGACUUUUAUAUCUUGUAAAACAGAUAGUAUAGGACAAUUACCUCUCUACCGAGGUUGAUAGAUUCCAUCUUGACACACACUUACCUCCACGUAUGACCCACUGCAGCCAACAUGUGUUGACUUAACCCAUGAUUAGGGUAUAGGUAUUUACACAGUCAAACUACAAUAACCCACACGCAAGAUAACCAUGGUGCCUAAAGUCAAAGGAUCACUCACACUACUACAGUAUGGAACAAUUCACUGACGAGUGAGUAGACAUCCAUGUGAUUGUUUAUAGUUGGUCACGCUCAGUGAAAUUGUUCUCCAACAUUCACCUGUAUGCUUAUUCUAGUGUCACCACACUAAUGACAUGAGGCUCGUCAUCCCAUAAAGGAAGUACAGUAUACACUGAUCUAUCCGGAUUUACCACUGCCCUUUUGAUAAUCCUAUGAUCAGGAGCAUUUAAGAAUUAAUUACAGAAGAAUAUAUGUCUCAAAUUUCUAACUUCUUAGAAAGUUAAUUCUUCUAGUAUUACUUCUAUGGACGAUUCAUAAAUAUGCAUUUGGCAAUAAUAUGAAUGAAGAAUGCUAGAUUUAAUCAUAAAAGAAAAGUACACUGAUAUUAACCCUUUAAGUUAUGACAAGAUUGGCUUAUAGGGCAUAUAACUAACGGUACUUCCUUUGUGGCCAGGAGGGCCACUUUCGGACCAAAUGCCCGAGGGGUUCAUCACCGUCACCGUCAUCUGCAUCGGUACCGGCUCUAUCAGCUUCUAGCCGGGGGAAACCAUCGGCGCACUACCCGUCUGGGCGGCCACCCAUCCAGCGACAGUCUGAGGGGUCACGACAGGCCCCGAGCGGGCGUAUGUAUGCAGCCCAGACGGAAGAGGCGGCAGCAGCCGAGGAUGUGGUGAAAGGUAUCAUUUUAUUAAAUGGCAUUCAAGUUCGAGCUUUAUUUGAUACCGGUGCAUCGCAUUCAUUCAUAAAUCGGCUGUUUGCCGAGCUGCAUGACAUCCCACUAGUUUCUUUGUUGCAUCCGGGAAGUGUUGUUGUACCCGACCACACCUUGAACAUUCGGGAGUUUUGCCCCAGUUGCCCUGUUCGGGUAGGGGAUUGGAUUAUAUCCGUGGAUUUGCUAGCCUUGCGCAAGCUGGGAGAGUUUGAUGUGGUUUUGGGUAUGGAUUGGUUGACGAGAUACUUCGCCUCUAUCGAUUGCAAGAAUCGAACUGUCACUUCUAGAGAACCGGGUCAAGAUGAAGUUGUUUUUAGAGGAUGCCAGAGCUCGCUGUUUGCGAUGACGGUUAGCUCUUCAUGAGCUAGGCAGUUGAUCAGCAGAGGUUGUAUAGUCUAUUUGGCUAGUGUUGUGCUGAGGGGUGAUGAUGACACCCCUAGGAUUGAGGAUAACCCGGUGGUAUGGGAGUUUUGUGACGUGUUUCCAGCGGAGCUACCUGAUAUGCCACCUGAUAGGGAGAUUGAGUUUGUGGUAGAUCUCAUCCCUGGGACUACCCCAAUCUCAAAGGCACCCUAUAUGAUGGCACCGGUUGAGUUGAAAGAGCUGAGGGCACAGCUGCAGGAUUUGUUGGAUAAAGAUUUUGUUCAACCUAGCAUCUCACCUUGGAGAGCGCCAGUUUUGUUCGUCAAGAAGAAAGACGGAUCGCUUCGGUUGUGUGUGGAUUAUUGUGAACUUAAUAAAGUCACGAUCAAGAACAAGUAUCCGUUGCCAAGAAUUGAUGACUUGUUUGAUCAGCUUCAGGGAUUAUGUGUGUAUUCCAAGAUCGACUUGCAGUCGGGAUACCACCAGUUGAAGAUCAAGCCCGAGGAUGUAUCGAAGACGGCUUUCAGAACACGGUAUGGACCUUAUGAGUUCAUUGUUAUGCCGUUUGGGCUUACUAAUGUCCCGGCAGCUUUUAUGGAUCUAAUGAACCGUGUUUUCAUGUCGUAUCUAGACAGGUUCGUCGUGGUGUUCAUCGACGACAUUUUGGUUUAUUCUCGAAGUGACAAGGAUCAUGAAGAGCAUUUAAGACUUGUACUUCAAGUGGUUCGAGAAAAGAAGCUCUUUGUCAAGUUGAGAAAGUGCGAAUUUUGGCUUCGAGAGGUGGCAUUUUUGGGAAACUUGAUUUUGGGAUUGGGUAUAGCCGUGGAUCCUAGGAAGAUUAAAGCUAUCAAGGAUUGGCCUAGACCGACGAGUGUCACUGAGAUCCAGAGUUUUCUUGGUUUGGCCAACUACUACCGGAGAUUUAUUGACGGGUUUGUGAAGUUGUCUACUCCCCUCAUGCGGCUCACACACAAAGGCACCAAGUUCAUUUGGAAUGAUGCGUGCGAGAGAAGCUUUCAAGAGCUGAAGGAACGGUUGACGACCGCCCCAAUCCUGACCUUGCCAGUAGCUGGAGCAGGGUAUGUGAUUUAUAGUGAUGCAUCUUUUUUAUGCAGGAUGGAAAAGUGAUCGCGUGUGCUUCUCGCCAAUUGAAGGAGUAUAAAAGGAGCUAUCCUACACAUGAUUUGGAGUUGGCGGCCGUAGUCUUUGCCUUAAGCUAUGGCGUCACUAUCUUUAUGGCAAGCGGUGUGAAGUAUACACGGAUCACAAGAGCUUAAAGUACUUAUUCACUCAGAAGGAGUUGAACUUGAAGCAGCGCAGAUGGUUGAAGCUACUCAAGGAUUAUGAUUUGACAAUCCUCUACCACCCGGGCAAGGCUAACGUGGUAGCAGAUGCUUUAAGUCGGAAGUCAACAGAAAAUUUGGCAAUGCUUGUAGCCACACAACCGCCGUUGAUUGAGCAGAUGAAACAGUUGGAGUUGGAGGUGGUGGCUCCUGAUACACCCUUGAGAUUGAUGGCUUUAGUGGUGCAACCUACCUUAUUGGAAAGGAUUAAAGAAAAGCAAGUUCACGAUGUAGAGCUGCAAAAGGUUCAAGCUAAGAUGGUUGAUGGUUACACCGGUGAUUAUCACGUGGACGACCAAGGGUUCUUGUGUUUUCGCGAGCGGAUUUGUGUACCGGCAGAAUCGGGAAUUAAAGAAGAUAUUCUUCAAGAAGCUCACCGUGCAUCCUAUGCUUUACAUCCAGGAGGCACCAAGAUAUACAAGGAUUUGAAGUUACUUUAUUGGUGGCCCGGAAUAAAAAAGGACGUUGGCUAGUUUGUAACUCGAUGUUUAACUUGUUAACAAGUGAAAGCUGAGCACCGACUACCCGCGGAGAAACUUCAAAGUUUAUCUAUUCCCGUGUGGAAGUGGGAAAAGAUCACCAUGGAUUUUGUUAUGGGAUUGCCUCGCUCUCAGGUCGAGCAUGAUGCUAUUUAGGUGAUCGUGGAUAGGUUGACGAAAUCGGCUUAUUUUAUACAUAUUCACACGACUUGGACUGGUGAGAGACUCGCACAAGUGUACCUUAAUGAGAUUGUGCGACUUCAUGGAGUGCCUACUUCGAUAGUAUCCAAUAGAGAUCCCAGAUUUGUAUCUCACUUUUGGAGGAGUCUGCAGGAUGCAUUGGGCAAUCGUUUGGAUUUCAGCACUGCUUUUCACUCUCAGAGUGAUGGACAAUCUAAGCGCACUAUACAGACAUUAGAGGAUAUGCUUCGAGCGUGCGUGAUAGACUUCUAGGGAGGAUGGUCACAGCACUUACCGAUGGUAGAGUUUGCUUAUAACAAUAGUUAUCAAGUAAGAAUUAAGAUGGCACCCUUCGAAGCAUUUUAUGGACGGAAGUGUAGAUCGUCAUUUCAUUGGAGUGAAGUUGGCGAGAGAUUGGCUUUCGACCCUAAUGUGCUCUAGGAAGCAGAGGAUAAGGUUCGCCUUGCUCGAGAGCAUUUGCUGACGGCUCAGAGUAGACAGAAGAGCUAUGCUGAUAAGCGACGACGAGACUUGGAGUUUCUAGUUGGAGAUCAUGUUUUCUUGAAAGUCUCGCCGACCAAAGAAAUUAGAAGAUUUAGCAUUCGGGGUAAAUUGAGCCUCCGGUUUAUUGGACCGUAUGAGAUUUUGGAGUGUGUAGGCCCUGUAGCGUAUAGGCUUGCUCUACCAUCGAACCUAUCGGGAGUGCACAAUGUGUUUCAUGUUUCGGUCCUUCGGAAGUAUAUCUUCGACUCAGCUCACGUUUUGGAUGUUUUACCAUUGGAGCUGAGGGAUGAUUUGAGCUUUGAAGAGCAACCGGUAAGGAUCUUGGCCCGCGAGAUAAAGAAACUUCGGAAUCACGAUAUUUCUUAUGUGAAGGUUCUUUGAAGCAACCACGAUAAACGCGAGGCCACGUGGGAGUUGGAGAGCGCACUGUAGGAGCGCUAUCCCCAUCUUUUUCAGAUGGAGUCUUGAGGUAACUUGCUUUUAAGUUUCGCGGACGAAACUCCUGUUUAGGAGAGGAGAAUGUAACACAUUGAAUUUUAGCAAAUCGCAAGGUUCGAGUGUUCGAACUGUGUUCUGAAUAUUUUCAGGUUUUCUAGAGGGUCGUUGACUGUGUUCCGACCUAUAACUCGCAUCCCGAGGAGCGAGGAUGAAGACUUGGCACCAAAAUCUCCAAAUUGCAGAUUUUGGCUGCUCUCGGGUUGAGCUUUGCAGGGCAGAGUACCGAUACUGCAUCGGCGGAGUACCGAUAUUGGACCUUGUACCGGUACGCAGUGAAUUUUAUCUUUUGACCGAGGCUCGGGUUUGGCGAGCUCGGCUGCCUGGUACCGGUACUCCAGCCCGCAUACCGGUACGCAAUGCAGGUGCAAACUGCAUAUUGUUGAGGGAUUUUUUUGAGUUUGUUACAACUCUAUAUAUACCCUACGCCCCCUUUUGGGUUCCCUGAGCUUGGAACCAGAGAAGAACCAGGUAGGGGACUUCUCCACUUCCCCUCUUUGAUUUUCUUUUCUUUUUACUUGGAUUUUGGAGAAUUAAUCACCUCUUUUGCUCCUUUUUGGCAUGUUGGUGGUUUUCCACCAUUGGAGAAGCUUGAAGUGAGAGAUUAGAGCUUGUUUGAGGAAAGAUCUCCAACCCUAGCAUCUUCUAGCUUGGUUUGGAGCUUGGGAAAAGGUUAGUAUCCUCUCUACCACUUGUGAUUGUGGUUUUACUUAAGUUUUGGGAAGAAAACCUAGUUAUGUUGAAUCUAGGAUUUUAUUUGGGGGUUUUUGAUUAGUAGCUUUUGGGGCUAAAUUGAUAGGUGUAGAACCUUCUUAUAGGUGGGAUUAGAAAUACUCUAACUUUCUUUUGGAGAUUGGGAGGGUGUUUCACCAUCCAAGGUGAGUUUUGACCUUUCUUUGGGUUUGUUAAAGUUUAGCUCAUAGGGUGUUCGUUCAUUACCCCUUAUAUAUAUAAAAGUUUUAAAAGCGUAACAUAAUUCAUUAUUUAAAAUAUUAUAAUAUACAAUAAAAGUAUUUUUUAAAUCUUAAAGCAAAAAUAUUUCAUAAUAAAAAAGACACGCGAUAAGAAAUUAGAGUUAGGAUUUUUAGAAUGGAUAAAUAAAAAGAUAUACAUUUUUUAAUUAAAAAAAUAUAUGUGCGGGUACCCGUGGGUACCCGCGGGUUACCCAAAAUGCCCACAGCUUAAUGGGUACCUACCCAUUUUACCCGUAAUUUUUUGGGUUGAAAAAGUUAGUACUCAUACCCACAAAUUUGCAGGUAACCCGCGGGCAUCCACGAGUAUUGGUAGAGAUUGCCGGGUCUAGAUAUGGGACUAUUGGGGUGUCACAGACUCCUCCGGUUUAGACUCUGACAUUCUCGUCGGCCCUAAACACACACAGCCCAAGAUUAUCAAGCGUUCUGACUUGUCUCGCUAGCUUUUGUCAUUCUGACCCUGACUUACCCUGUCAAUCAUCAAAUCCUGGCUUAGUUUGUCAUUCCGACUCUGUUUCAGCUAAGACUCAUCUCACACUUCCGGCUGGUGAACUGGCCCUGAUACCGAAUGUAACGACCCAGCCCACUAGCAAUAAUAACUCGUUUGGCCCAAACAUUGGCCCAAAAUGCUUAAAUCCAGUUAUUAUUAGUAGGGUAGAGCCCUCUCACAUAGCCUGUUGAUCUUGAGCUGUGUGUGUGUGUUUAGAGCUGAUCAGGACAACAAGGCCUAAACGAGGGGCGUGUGUGUGUGUGUAUAUAUAUAUAUAUACUACUAUAUUAUUAUAUAUAUUAAUAUAGAGAGAAGCGACGAUUGAUGGGGAUGAUGGGGAUGCGGGUCUCGGGGGCGUGUCGUGUGAUGAUGUAUGCGAAGAGAUAUAGUUUUAAUAUAUUAUUGCAGAGAAGGAGAGAGAGAGAGAGCUAGAGAGAGAGAGAGAACUAGGCUAAUAUACUAUUAAUAGCACCAAGUCAUUGGUGCUACCAAGUUUUUGGCCAUUGGAUUAAGAGAUGUGCGGUUAGGAUGAUGUGGGCACGCUAGGGUUGAGUGGUGGUUGGUUGAAUAGUAUGAUCUAACGUGAAAAUGAUCAAAAGGUGAUCUAACGCAAAAAACUUGUAGCACCAAGUGCUUCGUGCUAUUAAUAGCAUAUAGCCGGACUCCAUAUAUAUAUAUAUAUAUAUAUAUAAUAGAAGAGAGAGGACGAGAGAGAGAGAGAGACGAGAGAGAGAGAAAGAAAGAGUCCGGAUAUGGUGCUUGUUAAAAGCAUUACGUUAAAUCUACUCCUUUUAUCAUUUACACCCAUUAGAUCAUACUAUUCAACCAACCACCUACUCAACCCUAUUAUGGGUCUCAUAUCAUCCUAACUGUACAUAUUUUAAUCCAAUUGCCAAAAAAUCUACAAACACUAAUACCUUUCUUUUUUGGAGAGAUAGGUAGCCACGCUACCCGCUUGUUUAUUUCAUUUAUAAAUAAACUUAACUAGAAAUGUGAAUCAACUAGGAUUCGAACUUGGGUCUCGGUACAACCCAAGCCCUUUGCCACUUGCUCUAGGGACGGUCGAUCAAACACUAAUAACUCUGGUACUUUAAAAGCAUAGGAGCUAAAUUCUUCUCUCUUAUAUAUAUAUAUAGAAUUUAGCUCCUAUGCUUUUAAAGUACCAAGUUAUUGGUGAUUAUAAAGUUUUCGGCCCUUGGAUUAAGGAUGUGACAUUAUGAUGAUGUGGGUCCUAGGGUUAGUGGGUGUAUUAGUUCUCUACUUUAGAGUCAAGAUGAAUGGUUUCAUGUCAUUUCUACUUUAUAAGUGCAUCCUACACUUGUUAAUAAGUCAUUCUACAGUAUUAGACAUGAUCAUAAAUACUAUGCAUGCAGUCUCUCUACUUCAUCUCUACUUCAUAGAGGUACAAUGUCAGACAUAUCAAACACUGGUGGCAAAGAUGUCCCGAUUCAUAUUAAUCACGUUAGUCGCAAACAAAAACGCCGAAAACCCAUUCUAUAGUGACAUAUAGAACAUAGGGAGCUUCAUUUGCUCUUGUUUAGGUCAACCAUCUAUCACUAAGGUCAAUACAGCCAACAGAAGCUUCAACUCAGCUACACGUCGGUCUGGACCUGCUAAAACAAAGCAUUCAAAACGCGUCGAAACGAAUUACUUAACAAUCCAAUUCGGCUCCAAUCACACAUAGUACAAAGUAAUAACUUAGAUUCCCUGCUUCGGGCGCUUUAAUACUCAAGUUGAGUCUCCAAGAGCUCUCACAAGUCAACUAAAGACGAUCCAAGGCUCGAUCGACUCAUCGAGUUAUAAUUCACUAAUUAUCCUAAUAGCUUAAGGCAACUAUUCUCUGAGUUUAGAUGGAUAAUUAGUAGCCAAAUAAUCUUCUUCACUGCUGUAAACAUCUUCUAAUUCGGUUAGAGAGCAGCAAUACAAAACGGCUCAAAAUUCGACACUAAACACAUAACUAGAGAGAAAAUCAAGUUAAUUACCUCUCUAAAGUUUUCAACAGCUUCUCAGGUAGUAACUCACAAAACUCAGCAAACUUCCGCUCUCCCACGUUUCAGCACUGCUCCCUUGAGUCUCCAAACCAGCGAGCAACAAGUUACGACGCGAAUCGGGCGAAACGGCGGAUUUUACAUAGAGAGAGAAAAAACGCUAGAGAGAUGAGAGAGAGGAAAAGGGGGAAGAAGCUUGCUCUGAGCUCUUAGGGCCUUCCAGGACUUCAGGGCGGUCGACUCGGUAUCUGUAGGGAUAAGAUUAAGAUGCAAGAGACCAAAAAAUUCUCUGUCACGCACUAUGCCUCAGCUAGCUUGCUGUACGGACAGCAUAAUGCUAGCUGUACGGUACAACAAUGCAAUAAUCUGCCAAUGCGCAGACACAAUACACUUUCUUGUUUUCCGGCAAUUCGAUCACUCUCUUUACUUGUCGGAAAAACUUGUCCAAACCUUUCAGAAUAUGUAGGAUAGUCCACAACUCAAUUGCCACACACUCGAACUCCGCAAUUUGCAAAGUUCAGUGUUUACCUCUAUUUUACAUUAAAAAAUUAAAUUUGAGUUUAAUUAUGAAUUAAAUUUAUUUUUUGAUAUCAAAUUGAUAAAAUUAAUUUUUUUAUUACAGUGCAUCAAAAUUAAUUUUAACUGUUAAAGUAAAUAGUGAAUUAAAUUUGAUACUUUAAAUUUAAACACAUAUUUAUUUGAUUCAUCAAAAAAAAAGUAUAUAAAAAAAUUCGAUGUAUAUAUAAAAAAACACUGUAGGAUAUUGUAAAUAUUUUUUAAUAAAAAUAACUUACUAUUUAUGAUAUAUAUUUUUAUUGUAAUUUGAAUAUAUAUAUGUAUAAAUUUAUAUUGAUUAAAAUAAAUUACAAUAAUUGUUACUGCUUUGCACGCGUCCGUAUCAACUAGUAUAUGUAUAUAUACUAGUUAAGGCAGUGCAAUGCACGUCAACAAAUAUUAAAAAUAAAAUUUUUUAUAAAUAAAUAUUAUAGAUCGAUAUAUAGUAUUUAAUCUUAUUAAAAUAAAAUGACAGAAAAUAAAUAGAUUAUAAUAUCAUCAAAGAAAGAACAUAAAAUCCAUUAAGUAUCUAUUGAAAAAAGCACAACUUUGCUAAUAAAUUGAUUCUGAUAAAUAAAUUUAAAUACUAUAAAAAAAAUAAAAUAUUAAAAAGUACAUUUAUCCUAAUUAUCGAUAUUAACGUGCAUACUUUAAUACCAACAACUGAUCGUGUAAUAGCAUCUCUCGACUCUCUCCACAUGCCAAUGUGGUGUUAGCACUAUCUUGUCCUAAAGGAUCAAUCUAUUCGAUCAUUUACUUCCAUCCUUCAAAUAAUUAGUUAUUAAUAAUUUUUUCAUGCCAAUGUGUGCUAGCCACUAUCUUGUUCCUAGAUGAUCAAUCUAAUUCGAUUCAUGCUUCAAUCCAUCCAAUAUUAGUUAUUAAUAAUUUUUUUGACGCCAAUGUGUGCUAGCUCUAUCUUGUCCUAGAGGAUCAAUUAAUUCAGAUUAUACUUCAAUCCAUCCAAUAAUUAGUUAUUAAUUAUUUUUUUCAUGUGAAAUGAUAAAAGAGAAAUACCUUACCUUCAGUUUAGGACGAUUAAAACCGUAAUUGAUUUGGACAACCUUCCUACAACAUACUAAGAAAAAUGAAUAGUAUAGAAAUUAGUAGUAGUAUAGAACGGUGGCGAAGGCGAUAAUGUGUUUGGCGCGAUGACGACGAUAACGAUGAGGAAGAUGAUGACGAAGUUUUGGUUACGACAAUAGAAGAAGAAAAUUGAGAAAUAAUAUACUAGAAAAAUUUUUUUGAGAAUUUUUGAAGAAAAAUAUAGGUAAAACUUAAAAAAAUAUUACUAAAAAAAUAUAUGUUUUUAUUUGAAAAAUAUAUGGUAGAAAUGAGAGAAAUACUUAAAAAAAUAUGUUUAAAACAAUAUAAAGGCACAUUACAGAAAAAAAAAUCAGAUGAAAUUCAAAAUACCUCUCUCACUUUGACAAGACGAUAAUGUGCCGGCGCCGAGUGAUGUGAUGAACGACGGAGAUUAAAUAAAAAUAUAUUAUUUAAAAAAUAUUUAAGAUAUUUUUAAAAAUAAUAACAAAAAUAAAAAAAAAUAUUACUAAAAAAUUAUGCUUUUAUAUUUGGAGAAGAUAUAUAAGUGAAAAUGGGAAAUACUAAAAAAAUACUAAAACAGUAUAAAGGCAUAUUAAAAAAAGAGAAUUUCAGAUGGGGUCAAAAUACCUCUUUAAUUGUGCCGAAAGCGGCGAAGGGUGGCAAAGUCAAUAAUGUUCGCGCAGGUGAUGAUAGAUGACGAUGUACACAGUACCGACAAUGCGGACAAAUGAGAAAUAAUAUUACAAAAAAAUAUUCAAAAUAUUUAAAAAAUAUGUAGAUAAAAAAUAAAAAAACAUAUUACUAAAAAAUAUAUACUUUAUAUUGAGAAAACGUAUAUGUGAAAAUAAGAAAACGAAAAAAAAAAAAAAAACUAAAACAGUACAAAUGCACAUUAAAAAAAAAUUUCAGAUGGAAUUAAAAUACCUCUUUUAAUUAUGGACGACUGCUGGCGAACGCCACAAUGGCCACAGGCGCCAAUGAUGAUGAGUAGGACGAUGAUGAUGUACCGCUGUGACAAAUAGAAAAUAUUAAUAAAGAAAAAUAUUUGAGAAAAUAUAGAUAAAAAUAAAAAGAUACUACUAAAAAAUAUAUAUGCUUUAUAGUAAGAAACGCUAUAGUAGUGAAAUGAGGAAAAUACCAAAAACGAUAUGACUAAAGAAAAGAUAUGAUAUAUUAUAUUGUGUUGAUAAAAUUAUUAUGAUGAGAUAAGAUUGUAGUUAGAUAUUAUAUGCCGAGAGAUAUUAUGAUAGUAUUCUUAUAUUGAGAAUGGGAAGAAUAUUUUAGGAGGGAUAUUAUUUAAAAUUGAAUAUUUGCUACAAAAGUUUAGAAAUUAUAUUUAAAACUAAAUUUAGUUUGAUUGGACAGGCAUUAAUUUUUUUUAGAAAUCAUUCUAUACUUUUAUGACGCAUUAAAAAAAAAAAUUCAAAUGGAAUUAAAGAUAUUCUUAUAAUAUAUGACGAAGCUUGCGAACGCGACAACUGUACCGGCAGCAGACUGGAUGAUGAGUAGGACGAUGAUGAUGUUUACCGUUUGUGAAAAUGAGAAAGAUAUUACUAAAAUAUUUGAGAAAUAAUGAUAGAUAAAAAUAAAAAAGGAUGACUAUAAAAAUAUAUAUGCUUUAUAUGUAAGAAACGUCAUAGUGUGAAAUAAGAAAACACAAAAACGACUAUGGCUAAAAAAAAGAUAUGAUGUAUAUAAUUGUGUGAUAAAUAUUAUGGGAUGAGAUAAGAUUAGUUGAGUGUCAGAUCUUAUACGAGGUAUUAUGAUAUAUUCUAUAUUUUGAGAAUGGGAAGAAAUUUUGUUUGGUGGAUAUUAUUUAAAUGUUGAGUAUUUUUGCUAUAAAAAACGUUAGAAAUUAUAUUUAAUUUAACGAUUCAGUUUUUGAUUGGACAAUGCGAUUAAUUUUUUUAGAAAUAAUUCUAGUACUUUAUGAACGCAUAUAUUAAAUAUGAAUAUUUCACGAAAAAUAUUUAAAUUAUAUUUAAUUAACGCAUUAGUUUUAUUUGGGGUAUUAAAAUUACUUUAGCAAUAUUUACCCUUCUAUGGCGCCCGCUUAAUUUUAAUACUCGUCAAAAUUAAUAUAACCAUCUUAUGUAAGGAAAAAUCCACAAUUUGAAUAAAAUUCAAUUAUCAAAUUCGCAGUAUUAAAUUUUGGCGGGCAUUUCAAAAUUUAAAAUUAUUUUUGAAUACCACUUCGAUCUGGCUAGCUAUUACGAUUUAGCACAAAAAAAUUUGAGAAAUGCUUGGAUAUGGAAUAUAUAUUUAAUUUUACGUUUACCGUUGUGAUUUAGCAGAGUAUUACGUGGAUCAAGUCGGAUAUUAUAUUUAGCCAUAAGAAUAAAUUUAAAUUUUACGCUAUUAUAUGGAUUGGGGAUAGACAAAAAAUAUUGACAGAAACGCGGCUGUAGUAUAGAGAUAAUGGAUAUGGGAGGUAUUUUGUCUAAUAAAAAUGACAGAUACUUUUUAUUUUAUUCGUUUGGAUAAGAAUCUCGAUGGCAGAAAACUUAGAGAUCUAUAUUUAAGAAUAAAUUUUAUUAAAAAUUCUAUUGAAAAUGGAAUAGUUGAAAGUUAUGACAUGACUGUAACGACCUUAGCACUAGAAUAAUAACUCGUUGGGCCCAGCCACAGCCAAAAAUGCUUUAGCCAGUCUAUUAUUCUUAUGUCUAAGUCUCUUAUUAACCCAAUUGAUAAUCCCUUUCCCAUCCAUCGAUCGUUAGUGGGACGAGACGUGAGGUACGUGUGUAGCGGUCGAUAGAGCUUCCGACCCAGGUUGUUUCGAUUUAGUUGUUAUCCUUGGUAUUUCUGUUGAUAUAUAGUUUAGUUGGUUUAUGUGGUUCAGUAAUUAUUUACAUUCGAAAGUGUGGAUUUCUGGAUUUUGUAAAAUAAAAGGUUUUCUACCCCUCGUGGUAGCGUUUUUAAAAGAAUAAAGGUUUCUGUGUAGGAAACAGCUUUCAAAAGAUUUUUGUGGAUUUCUGUCUAAACCUUGAAUACAAAACUGUGAUGUGAAUGGUGAAUGUAUGAAUGUAUAGUUAUCCUUAUAUUCAUCUGGUUGUGGUUGUAUCCUGGUUGUACUGUGUAUUUGAUCGACGCCGUGCAAAUAUAGGGGAGACUCUGUCCGUGUGAACAGUGGAUUCCCUGUAUUUGUGGCGGAUCUGGCAUAUCCUGGAGUCAGGUUUUCAAAGAAAAAAAAAUUCAGACGCUUUUCCGCUUUGUUUUAAACUGAAAAGGGACUCCGGGGCGUGACAAUAUAUUUAAUCUAUAUAUAAAAAUUAUAACAAUAAUAUAUAUAGUAUAUUAAUUAUUAUAUAUUUAUUAUAUAGCCGAAUUUUUGAUCCCGAAUUUUUAAUUGGUGAACGUAUAAUACCCGUAUAAAUCACGUAUCCGAAUAACUGGCGAAUCCGUUUUUUAGCCAUAUUUUUCAACGAAUUUAAAAAUUAAAAGACGAAUUUUAUCUGAAUUAUAUCUGUACCGAAUUUUUGCCGAAUCCAAAUUAACUAAUUAUGCCUCCAGCCACUAAGGUUGGUUUAGCUACGAUCGAUCUCAUCCGUUAAUCUGCUCGCUCCCGACGUGCUUAAUUAAUUAAUUGAUAUUUGAAGGGCAAAUAAGAAAAAUAUUUGCUAUAUGAAGGGUAUAUAAGAUAAGUUAGUUACGGUACAAGGGUAUAUUGGAAUGGGCAAAAUGGUAAUUUUUCAGAGAUAACGGCAGCUAACUGACGGAACUUAACUCCGGGGGUAUAUUAGAAAGACUUGGAACAUAAAAAGGUAUUUUCAAUAUUAGCCUUCUAAGAGGGGUAAAUAAGAAAACCGGAAACUUUUCAGGGGCAUAUAGGCAAUUGCCCCUAUAAAAAUCUAUUCUCUACAAAUAAUUAUAAUCAAUUUGUUAACAAAAUAUCUAGAAUAGAUAUGAUCAAUCUAUUAAAAAAUAGCAUUCUUAUCCAUCUAUAAAUUCAAUCAUACGAACGAUUAUAAUCAAUUUGUUAAGAAAUAUUUAAAAUAAAAACAAACUGUUAUGAUCAACUUAUUAAAAAAUAGCAUUCCUUUUCAUCUAUUGUCACGCCCGGGUACCAGCAGAAGCAUAUCCGGUACGUGCACGACCCGCCAUACACCUGCAGUAUAUAAGGCGUCUACAAGAAACAAGUCGAUAGGAGUUAAAACAUAAAAUAAUCCUAUCCUGAUAUCAGAGCAUAGUAAAAGUCACAAAGACUAUCAACAAUAGAACAAGGAGUAUAUAUUCCACAAACUCAACAAAACGUGAAGUAUCACAACUAUAAUAUCUGUCCAAAGAGUAAAUAUACAUCACGGGGUAUACAAAACGAAUAGGUACAAUAGUGGUCUCUCUAUACAUAGGGACAUCACCCUCGGCCGUAGCCCGAGUAAUAAAGUGAUCGACUAGUACGUUCCUAGCAAUGUCUAGCUAAACGCGACUCUCUUGCCACGAUCCCUAACCUCUCCUGUAGAUGGCUCUGUAAAAACAACAAUAAAAAAGGGCGUCAGAACUAUAAACAAUAGUUCCCAGUGGGUAAGCCGCCAGCCUCGGCGAAUUACACCACUAGGCUCAUGAUGUACUAAAUGAAAGCAAACACGAUAAUUGCAUGAUAUAUAAGCAUGAUGCUAACAAGUAAUGAGCAUGUAAUCAAUAUGUAAUAGCUUUCUACAGUAAUGAAUCAUUUGCAUAAUAGAGAUAUAGCAACUUCUGUAAUCAUGAACAUAUACAUGAAUAUGAAAGUAACUACUGUACAUUUUAACUAGUAAGCAUUCAUUACUGUCCUUUGUCAUUUAGUACUUUCACCUCAAUAGAGUUUUCCUUUCAUUCAACAAGACCUACCCAAGGUAGUCCGACUUGCGCCGCGCCUAAGGGUCUCGUGGUAGUAUGCACUCCCCACGGCAAUCCAUUUCGGCACUCAAUCCCGCACGGGCGAGCAACUGUCGCGUAGGCCAACUCCGAAGUGCCGGCUUGUAGGGAACGACCCUCACAAGCGUGUGCGAAUGAGCACGAUGGCAAGCAAGCAUAUUCCACUGUCCACAUGUCUCAAUUAUCAUGUUUUCAUUUGCAAUGUUCUUACCCUCGAUCCUCUGAUCGGAAUUUCAAUACACAAAUAGUAACAAAAACUAGUAUCCACUAGAUUGUAAACAUGUAAGAGUAAUGCUAAAUCACAUGGUAUUAUAAUCUUUCCACUAUUAUGGCACUGUCAACAUAGUCAUAAGCAUGUCAUAGUUCUCUACUUUAGAGUCAAGAGAAUGUCAUUAUUUUCUACUUUAUAAGUGCAUCCUACACUUGUUCAUAAGUCAUUCUACAGUAUUAGACAUGAUCAUAAAUACUUUUAUGCAUGCAGUCUCUCUACUUCAUCUCUACUUCAUAGAGGUACAAUGUCAGACAUAUCAAACAUGGUGGCAAAGAUGUCCCGAUUCAUAUUAAUCACGUAGUCGCAAAAAACGCACGACAAACCCAUUCUAUAGUGACAUAUAGAACAUAGGGGAGCUUCAUUUGCUCUGGUUAGGUCAAACCCAUCUAUCACUAAGCUCAAUACAGCCCAACAGAAGCUUCAAACUCAGCUCACACGGUCUCUGGACCUGCUAAAAACAAAGCAUCAAAACCGCGUCGAAACGAUUACUUAACAAUCCAAUUUCGGCUCCAAUCACACAUAGUACAAAGUAAUAACUUAGUUCCCUGCUUCGGGCUAGCUUAAUACCUCAAGUUGAGUCUCCAAGAGCUCUCACAAGUCAACUAAAGACGAUCCAAGGCUCGAUCGCACUCUCGAGUUAUAAUUCACUAAUUAUCCUUAAUAAGCUUAAAGGCAACUAUUCUCUGAGUUUAGAUGGAUAAUUAGUAGCCAAAAUAACUCUUCUUCACUGCUGUAAACAUCUUCUAAUUCGGUUAGAAGCAGCAAUACCAAAACGGCUCAAAAUUCGACACUAAACCAUAAACUAGAGAGAAAAUCAAGUUAAUUACCUCUCUAAAGUUUUCAACCAGCUUCUCAGGUAGUAACCUCACAAAAAACUCAGCAAACUUCCCUCUCCCCACGUUCCAAGCACUGCCCUUGAGUCUCCAAACCAGCGAGCAACAAGUACGACGCGAAAUCGGCGCGAAACGGCGAAUUUUACAUAGAGAGAGAAAAACCCUAGAGAGAGAGAGAGGGAAAAGGGGAAGAAGCUUGCUCUGAGCUCUAAGGGCCUUCCAGCAACUUCAGGGGUCGACCAGGUAUCUGUAGGGAUAAGAUUAGAUGCCAAGAGACCAAAAAAUUCCUGCUGCCACGCACUAGCUGCCUCAGCUGCUUGCUGUACCGGUACAGCAUAAUGCCUGUACCGGUACACAAUGCAAAAUCUGCCCAAUGCGCAGAAGCAAUACACUUUCUUGUUUCCGGCAAUUCGAUCACUCUCUAACUUGUCGAAAAACUUGUCCAAACCUUUCAGAAUAUGUAGGAUAGUUCCACAACUCAUGCCACACACUCGAACUCCGCAAUUUGCAAAAGUUCAGUGUAUUACAUCUAUUUUACAUUAAAAUUAAAAUUUGAGUUUAAAUUAUGAAUUAAAUUUAUUUUUUGAUAUCAAAUUUGAAUUAACAAUUAAUUUUUUUAUUACAGUGCAUCAAAAUUAAAUUUUAAACUUUAAAGUAAAUGUGAAUUAAAUUUUGAUACUUUUAAUUUAAAACACAUAUUUAAAUUUGAUUCAUCAAAAAAAAAAGUAUAUAAAAAAAUUCGAUGUAUAUAUAAAAAAAAACACUGUAGGAUAUUGUAAAUAUUUUUUAAUAAAAUAUAACUUACUAAUUUAUGAAUAUAAUUUUUAUUGUAAAAUUUUGAAUAUAUAUAAUGUAUAAAUUUAUAUUGAUUUAAAAUAAAUUACAAUAAUUGUUACGUGCAUUUGCACGCGCGUACAUUCAACUAGUAUAUGUAUAUAUACUAGUUAAGGGCACGUGCAAUGCACGUCACACAAAUAUUAAAAAAUAAAAUUUUUAUAAAUAAAUAUUAUAGAUUCGAUAUAUAGUAUUUAAUCAUUACUAAAAUAAAAUGACAGAAAUAAGAAAUAGAAUUAUAAUAUCAUCAAAGAAAGAACAUAAAAUCCAUUAUAGUAUCAUUGAAAAAAGCACAACUUUGCUAAAUAAAUUGAUUCUGAUAAAUAAAUUUAAAAUACUAUAAAAAAAAUAAAAUAUUAAAAAGUACAUUUAUCCUAAUUAUCGAUAUUAACGUGCACUACUUUAAUACAACAACUGAAUCGUUUGUAAUAGCAUCUCUCGACUCUCUCCACAUGCCAAUGUGUGUUAGCACUAUCUUGUCCUAAAGGAUCAAUCUAAUUCGAUUCAUACUUCAAUCCUUCCAAAUAAUUAGUUAUUAAUAAUUUUUUCAUGCCAAUGUGUGCUAGCACUAUCUUGUCCUAGAUGAUCAAUCUAAUUCGAUUCAUGCUUCAAUCCAUCCAAAUAAUUAGUUAUUAAUAAUUUUUUGACGCCAAUGUGUGCUAGCACUAUCUUGUCCUAGAGGAUCAAUCUAAUUCGAUUCAUACUUCAAUCCAUCCAAAUAAUUAGUUAUUAAUAAUUUUUUUCAUGUGAAAUGAUAAAAAGAGAAAUACCUUACCUUCACGUUUAGGACGAUUAACACCGUAAUUGAUUUGGACAACCAUUCCUACAACAUCUAAGAAAACUGAAAUAGUAUAGAAAUUAGUAGUAGUAUAGAAGGUGGCGAAGGCGAUAAUGUGUUGGCGCCGAUGACGACGAUAACGAUGAGGAAGAUGAUGACGAAGUUUUGGUACCGACAAUAGAGACAAAUGAGAAAUAAUAUUACUAGAAAAAUUUUUUGAGAAUUUUUGAGAAAAAUAUAGGUAAAACUUAAAAAAAAAUAUUACUAAAAAAAUAUAUGUUUUAUAUUUGAAAAAUAUAUGGGUAGAAAUGAGAGAAUACUAAAAAAAAUAUGUUAAAACAAUAUAAAGGCACAUUACAGAAAAAAAAAUCAGAUGAAAUCAAAAUACCUCUCUAACUAUGACAAAGACGAUAAUGUGCCGGCGCCAGUGAUGUGAUGAACGACGGAGAUAAAUAAAAAAUGAUAUUAUUAAAAAAAUAUUUAAGAAUAUUUUUAAAAAAUAAUAACAAAAAUAAAAAAAAAUAUUACUAAAAAAAUAUAUGCUUUAUAUUUGAGAAAUAUAUAAGUGAAAAUGGGAAAUACUAAAAAAAUACUAAAACAGUAUAAAGGCAUAUUAAAAAAAGAGAAAUUUUCAGAUGGGGUCAAAAUACCUCUUUAAUUGUGCGAAAGCGGCGAAGGUGGCAAAGUCAAUAAUGUGUCGGCGCAGGUGAUGAUGAUGACGAUGUACAAGUACCGACAAUGCGGACAAAUGAGAAAAUAUAUUACAAAAAAAAUAUUCAAAAAUAUUUAAAAAAUAUGUAGAUAAAAAUAAAAAAACAUAUUACUAAAAAAUAUAUACUUUAUAUUUGAGAAACGUAUAUGUGAAAAUAAGAAAAAACGAAAAAAAAAAAAAACUAAAACAGUACAAAUGCACAUUAAAAAAAAAUUUCAGAUGGAAUUAAAAUACCUCUUUAAUUAUGACGACGCUGGCGAACGCCACAAUGGCACAGGCAAUGAUGAUGAGUAGGACGAUGAUGAUGUACCGCUGUGACAAAUGAGAAAAAAUAUUAAUAAAAAAAUAUUUGAGAAAAAUAUAGAUAAAAAUAAAAAAGAUACUACUAAAAAAAUAUAUAUGCUUUAUAUGUAAGAAACGUAUAGGUGAAAAUGAGAAAAUACCAAAAACGAUAUGCUAACAGAAAAGAUAUGAUAUAUAUAUUGUGUGAUAAAUAUUAUGAUGAGAUAAGAUUGGAUAGUGUAGAUAUUAUAUGCGAGGAUAUUAUGAUAUAUUCUAUAUUUGAGAAUGGGAAGAAUAUUUUGGAGGAUAUUAUUUAAACAUUGAAUAUUUUGCUAAAAAAGUUAGAAAUUAUAUUUAAUUAACGAUUUAGUUUUGAUUGGACAGGCAUUAAUUUUUUUUAGAAAUAUUCUAUACUUUUAUGACGCAUUAAAAAAAAAAAUUCAAAUGAAAUUAAAAUACUUCUUUAAUUAUGACGAAGCUGGCGAACGCGACAAUGUACCGGCACAGACAAUGAUGAUGAGUAGGACGAUGAUGAUGUACCGUUGUGACAAAUGAGAAAAGAUAUUACUAAAAAAUAUUUGAGAAAAAUAUAGAUAAAAAUAAAAAAGGAUACUACUAAAAAAUAUAUAUGCUUUAUAUGUAAGAAACGUAUAGGUGAAAAUAAGAAAACACCAAAAACGAUAUGCUAACAAAAAAAGAUAUGAUGUAUAUAUUGUGUGAUAAAUAUUAUGAUGAGAUAAGAUUAGUUAGUGUAGAUAUUAUAUGCGAGGAUAUUAUGAUAUAUUCUAUAUUUGAGAAUGGGAAGAAUAUUUUGGUGGAUAUUAUUUAAAUGUUGAAUAUUUUGCUAAAAAAGUUAGAAAUUAUAUUUAAUUAACGAUUCAGUUUUGAUUGGACAUGCAUUAAUUUUUUUUAGAAAUAUUCUAUACUUUUAUGACGCAUUAUUUAAAUAUUGAAUAUUUCACUAAAAAUAUUUAAAAUUAUAUUUAAUUAACGAUUUAGUUUUGAUUUGGGGUNGGAUAUUAUUUAAAUGUUGAAUAUUUUGCUAAAAAAGUUCCCGCCAAAAUUUAAUUAACGAUUUAGUUUUGAUUUGGGGUAUUAAAAUUUUUUUAGCAAUAUUUAACCCUUCUAUGGCGCGCUAAAUUUUAAUACUCGUCAAAAUUAAAUAUACCAUCUUAUGUAAGGAAAAAUCUACAAUUAUGAAUUAAAAUUCAAAUUAUCAAAUUCGCAGGUAUUAAAUUUUGGCGGGCAUUUCAAAUUUAAAAUUUAAUUUUGAAUACCACUCGAUUGGUAGGUAUUACGUUUGAGCAAAAAAAUAUUUGAGAAAAUGCUUGGAUAGGAAAUAAAUUUAAUUUUACGUAUUACGUGAUUAGCAGAGGUAUUACGUGAUCAGUGGGUAUUAUAUUAGAUAAGAGAUAAAUUUAAUUUUACGUAUUAUAUGAUUGGUGGAUAGAAAAAAAAUAUUUGAGAAACGCGGCGUAGAUAGAAGAUAAUGGAUAUGGAGGGUAUUUUUGUCAAUAAAAAUGACAGAUACUUUUAUUUUUAUUCGUUGGAUAAGAUCCAAUGGCGAAAACUUAAGAUCUAUAUUUAAGAAUAAAUUAUUAUUUAAAAAUUUAUUUAAAAUGGAUAGUUGAAAAUUGCUGAACAUGACUGUAACGACCCAGCCCACUAGCAAUAAUAACUCGUUGGGCCCAGCCAACAGCCCAAAAUGCUUAAGCCCAGUUAUUAUUACUAGUGUCUAAGUCUCUUAUAAACCCAAUGAUAACCCCUUUCCCAUCCGAUGUGGGACUAUUGGGGUGUCACAAUGACAAUAUUAGUAAAAAAGAUAGAGGCAAUUUUGGAAAGGGAAAAAAUUCAAAACUAACGCUUUUAUAAGUAGUAUAGAUAUAUAUCUUAAAAAGAAAAAAUAUUGAAUGAUAAAAAUAUUAAAUAAAAAGAUAAAAUAUUAAUAGUUAGAGGAAAAAGAGAAACUAUCGUUAUGUUAUUUAUUUUGUAUACGGAAAAGAAAAAAUUUUGAAAUAGGUUUAUAGACAAAUCCAAAUUUAAAAUACGUACUUUUAUAUAUAUAGUAUAGUUAUGCAUAUACAUAUCAGUUGUAGCAAAUAUUUUCUUAAAUAGUUGUUAGUUUUAAAGGUACGCUAAAUGGUGUUGGAUAGUCUGAGGGAUCAAAUAGCCAAAUCCGAUCGUUCCGCGCAAAAAAAUAAUAUUUUAAUUCUCACGAAAAAAGUGGUGUCGAUGAAGUAGCGUGCAUGGCUUCAUCAUGCAUGAAUUAAGCCUUACAUGUAGUUGCAUAAAGCGGCCGGACUAAACAUUUUGCCUCGGAUUCCUACUAAAAAAAAAAGUAUUGCUAUUUAGCAGGAAAAAAAAGUAUAUUAAAAUUUAUUCUUACGUGUAAUAACUUUUCUGUAAAAUAGAUUGUUUUAAAAAAAUUAAUUUUGAUUUUCGAUGUUUAUAGUUUAGAAUUUAGAUUUCUUUUUAUACGGCACGCAUUGGUCGUAAUUAAUUAAUAAUAGUAAUAUAUAGAAGCGCGCAGAGGUAGAAUCAAUCAAAUAGACAUGCAAUAUUAUAAUAUAUGUACUCACGCAUAUAUAUUAGACUGAUUGAUUAUCAUAAUUUACUUAGACUAAUUAUUAGGCUAACAAAAUAAAUUCUCACUAUUUUUUAAGCUACCAUUUGGUUCGGGGUUAAGAAAAAACUAGUUAUUUCAGGGAUAGGGUUAAGUUCAGGGUUAAGAUGGGAUUAGAGUAUUUUUGUGUUUUGUUGGAGGUUUGAGUUAGUUCAGGAUAGUGAAAAAUAGUGUUUGAUUGGAGUAGGUGAGAUAAGAAGGAUAGUGGGUUAUUAUGAAUAGAACAUAGUAUUUGGUUGGUGUUUGGUGAGGUUAGAUAGGGUUAGCUAAUCCGGGAUAGCCCAUUUGAGAUGGGGUUAGCUAACUCCACCCAUUUUUUAGGGUGUUUGGAGAUAAUACGGGGGUUAAGGGGUUAUUCUACCUCUUAACCCCCAACCAAACAAAGGCUAAAUAGUUUUCUCUUGACAGUAUUU